rnacentral:misc_RNA from 1 species
GUGGGAGGGGGCUUGCCCCCGAUAGCUGAGUGUCAGUCAAUACAUCUGUUGACUGGUCCACUGCAAUCGGGGGCAAGCCCCCUCCCAC